rnacentral:misc_RNA from 1 species
GAUGAAGAACGUAGCGAAAUGCGAUAAGUAGUGUGAAUUGCAGAAUUCAGUGAAUCAUCGAAUCUUUGAACGCACAUUGCGCCCCUUGGUAUCCCGAGGGGCAUGCCUGUUCGAGCGUCAUUUCACCACUCAAGCCUGGCUUGGUGUUGGGCGACGUCCCCUUUGGGGACGCGCCUCGAAACGCUCGGUGGCGUGGCACCGGCUUUAAGCGUAGCAGAAUCUUUCGCUUUGGAAGUCGGGGCCCCGUCUGCCGGAAGACCUACUCGCAAGGUUGACCUCGGAUCAGGCAGGGAUACCCGCUGAACUUAAGCAUAUCAAUAAGCGGAGGA